ensembl:snRNA U1 U1 spliceosomal RNA
AUACUUAUUGGCAGGGGAGACACCAUGAUCAGGUGAGUGGUUUUCCCAGGGUGAGGCUUAUCCCAAGCACUUAGUGUGAGCCAACACCUGUGAUUUCCCCAAAUGCAGGAAAGUCAACCAUGGGAGUGGUAAUUUUUCUUUUUUUUUCU